CAGCCGUAAACUAUGCGCGUUAGGUGUAUCGGUGACCACGAGCUACCGAGGUGCCGAAGGGAAACCGUGAAACGUGCCGCCUGGGAAGUACGGUCGCAAGGCUGAAACUUAAAGGAAUUGGCGGGGGAGCACCACAACAGGUGGAGCCUGCGGUUUAAUUGGACUCAACGCCGGGAAGCUCACCGGAUAGGACAGCAGAAUGAUUGCCGGGCUGAAGACCCUGCAUGACUAGCUGAGAGGAGGUGCAUGGCGUCAGUGACU
rnacentral:rRNA from 1 species